rnacentral:lncRNA from 1 species
UCAUCCGCUACUCAUAAAAGCCACCAGGGCCUCUUUUGGCUCGCACCCCAACACCACCUCAUUUAGCUCCGCCGUCCACCAGCUCACGGAGACAACCCAGCCCCAAAAAAUGAUAGGCUACAAUGAUAAAAAAAAAUAAAAAAUAAGACUUACCACCAAAGAGCGAUCACCGACGACAAGUUGAAUGAUUGCAAUUUGAUCGGGGACGACAUGAGAGGCGGAGGUUUGGAUGGCUAGGGUUUGUGACGCAAG